UGAAAGCAUUCUGAACGCAAGGUGGUGCUGUUGCCUUUAAUAUGAAGUCGAAAUAUUCAGCUUCAACAGAGAUGGCGAUAUGAUCUCGGUGUCAUCUAAAGGUUUUGGAUCCUGUCAUUGUCUUCAACCGGAGCGGAUCACCUCAGUUUUUCAGAUGUGGAAGAGGAAGAUGCUAUACGCUCUCCAAGGCUGUAGGUUACUUUAUUAAAUGCGUGUACUUACGUCAAUUUAAGUUAAAUUAGUUUCAGUAAUUAGUUUUAGUAAACAAGUUUCAGUUAAAUAAAUUUUGUCUUCUUAAAUUGACGAGUGUUCGCCUGACGCGAUGCAGAAUGUACCUUUGUGCAAACCAUAGUUGGUAUGAGCAACAAGUGGAAAGAAAAACAAGUUUUUUCACAUUCAUUUUAUUUUUUCAUGGAAGAUUGGAUAACUAUAAAUGGGCCAGAGGUGUUUGGCUUUUACCUGCACACCCACUGAAGAAAGUAGCGUUUAGCCUGGAUAACCUGCUGGAUUGAGGCCUGGAUUGAAGGUUAAAUUCUUCCUGGCUAAAGUAAUCCAUUCAGCACCUUCUAGUAGUGAAACUAUUCCCUACACAUUUGGCCGGCUAACCACUGGGAUAUACUGGUUUGGAACGCACUGAAACGGUGUAAUCUUUCUGGUAUAUGUUUAUAACGAUGUCUAACAUCUUCAGAGCUGUGUUCUUGUGUUUCCUGUCACUGUGGGCACCAGGGCACAGUAGUACAUGGCAGAGUCUGUCACUUCUGUAGAAGAGAUCGUCAAAUUCAU